rnacentral:lncRNA from 1 species
CAGGGAGCACAUUUUUCAUUUGGUUUCGGUGGUAUCCAGGAAUGAAUUUGGAAGUUGGUUUUAUUGGUUGGAGGGUGUACACGGGUUUCUCACAAGAUUCACUCAGACAAUCCUUCUCACGAUAUCACUCACAACAGAAUUACCACACACGAUUCCACUCCUCUCUUCCCUAACACAUAACCACCCAACGGAUUCACUUACAGGGGAUUCCCA